UUUUUCGAGAGUUUGAUCCUGGCUCAGGAUGAACGCUGGCUGUGUGCCUAAUACAUGCAUGUCGAGCGAAGAACUUCGGUUCUUAGCGGCGAAUGGGUGAGUAACACGUGCUCAACGUACCCUUCAGAUUGGAAUAGCGGUUGGAAACAGCCGAUAAUACCAAAUACCCGUAAAUUUCGCAUGAAGUUUACGUAAAAGGUCCGUUUGGACCGCUGGAGGAGCGGGGUGCGUAACAUUAGCUUGUUGGUGAGGUAACGGCUCACCAAGGCGAUGAUGUUUAGCGGGGUUGAGAGACUGAACCGCCACACUGGGACUGAGAUACGGCCCAGACUCCUACGGGAGGCAGCAGUAGGGAAUAUUCCACAAUGGACGAAAGUCUGAUGGAGCGACACAGCGUGCAGGAUGACGGCCCCAUGGGUUGUAAACUGCUGUGGUAAGGGAAGAAAAAGUAGUGUAGGAAAUGACAUUACCUUGACGGUACCUUAUUAGAAAGCAACGGCUAACUAUGUGCCAGCAGCCGCGGUAAUACAUAGGUUGCAAGCGUUAUCCGGAAUUAUUGGGCGUAAAGCGUCUGUAGGUUGUUUGUUAAGUUCGGCGUUAAAUUUUGGGGCUCAACCCCAAACCGCGUUGAAUACUGGCAAACUAGAGUUAUGUAGAGGUAAGCGGAAUUCCUUGUGAAGCGGUGAAAUGCGUAGAUAUAAGGAAGAACACCAAAAUGGCGAAGGCAGCUUACUGGGCAUAUACUGACACUGAGAGACGAAAGCGUGGGGAGCAAACAGGAUUAGAUACCCUGGUAGUCCACGCCCUAAACGAUGAUCAUUAGCUGAUGGAGAGUUCGUCGGCGCAGCUAACGCAUUAAAUGAUCCGCCUGAGUAGUACGUUCGCAAGAAUAAAACUUAAAGGAAUUGACGGGGACCCGCACAAGCGGUGGAGCAUGUGGUUUAAUUUGAGAAUACGCGUAGAACCUUACCCACUCUUGACAUCUUCUGCAAAGCUAUAGAGAUAUAGUGGAGGUUAACAGAAUGACAGAUGGUGCAUGGUUGUCGUCAGCUCGUGUCGUGAGAUGUUCGGUUAAGUCCUGCAACGAGCGCAACCCUUAUCCUUAGUUACUAACAUUUAGUUGAGCACUCUAAGGAGACUGCCCGAGUAAUUGGGAGGAAGGUGGGGACGACGUCAAAUCAUCAUGCCUCUUACGAGUGGGGCAACACACGUGCUACAAUGGUCGGUACAAAGAGAAGCAAACUGGUGACAGGGAGCAAACCUCAAAAAACCGAUCUCAGUUCGGAUUGGAGUCUGCAACUCGACUCCAUGAAGUCGGAAUCGCUAGUAAUCGUAGAUCAGCUACGCUACGGUGAAUACGUUCUCGGGUCUUGUACACACCGCCCGUCAAACCAUGGGAGCUGGUAAUGCCCGAAGUCGGUUUAUAAACAAACUGCCUAAGGCAGGACUGGUGACUGGGGUUAAGUCGUAACAAGGUAUCCCUACGAGAACGUGGGGAUGGAUCACCUCCUUU
rnacentral:rRNA from 1 species